UGUGGGAGGGGGCUUGCUCCCGAUAGCGGUGGCUUAGUCAGUAAUCUGUGACUGAACUGCCGCUAUCGGGAGCAAGCCCCCUCCCACA
rnacentral:misc_RNA from 1 species